AUUGAACGCUGGCGGCCGGCCUAACACAUGCAAGUCGAACGAGUGGCGGACGGGUGAGUAAUGUCUGGGAAUCUGGCUUAUGGAGGGGGAUAACUACGGGAAACUGUAGCUAAUACCGCGUACCAUAGGAUGAGCCCAAGUGGGAUUAGGUAGUUGGUGGUGUAACGGCUCACCAAGCAGACGAUCUCUAGCUGGUCUGAGAGGAUGACCAGCCACACUGGGACUGAGCCACGGCCCAGCCUCCUACGGGAGGCAGCAGUGGGGAAUAUUGCGCAAUGGGCGCAACCUGAUGCAGCCAUGCCGCGUGAAUGAAGAAGGCCUUCGGGUUGUAAAGUACUUUCGGUAGCGAGGCGUUAACCACAGAAGAAGCACCGGCUAACUCCGUGCCAGCAGCCGCGGUAAUUC
rnacentral:rRNA from 1 species